rnacentral:tRNA from 1 species
GGGCCUGUGGCUCAGCUUGGUAGAGCACCUCGAGAAAUAAUAAUCAUUCACGUCAAAUUAUCAAAAAGCUCUGGUGAAACUUUUAUCGAGCAAGGAAAUGAGGUUGUCGAGGGUUCAAAUCCCUUCAGGCCCG